CGCCAUGGCGUCUCCCCUAGCUUCCUCGCGUGGUGGUGCUCUGCCCGCCGACCGGCGCCUCCCACGAGCUCCCCGCGCGCCACCGCUACUCUAUCUUCCUCCCAGCACAUGGGGCUGCCUCUCCCCACCUCCCACCGCUGCCGUAUCUGUGGCCCACCACGAGAUCAAGCCUCACCAAUGCCAUCGGCACCCCACAACCUCUCUCUCGCAUCCCCGGCAACCCCUCCACAUUCCUCCACCUCCUCUCCCUCCCAGCGCAGACGAGGCCGACGGCGAGACCCCUCCGGCCGCCGCAGCCCAGCUACCGACCACUGUCGCCCAGCACCGAAUCUCUCCGGAUCCAUCUUGCCCUGCUUUAACCGCCGCCAUCUCGGGCUGCCAGACACCUAGAUCCGACGAGUUCACCACCCCUCGUCCCUCCUCCUUACCCCGGCGACCAACGGGAUUGGGCAUCGGUGCUCCUCUACAUCAUCAGUGGGAAGAUCAGAGGAGGUGUUUCAAAAAGGCGGCCACUUCUACGUCUCCAGGAGAUUCCUUGCCACAAGGAAAAUUUGAUGGUGGUGACUACAAAAAUCGUGGAAGAACAAUGGCAGGGUAUGCAGUACAGAAGUCCCAGGCUUGAAGCGCACCGGGGCAUGCGAUGCGGUUUGGUGAGGGCCUGUGAGCUCAAAAAUAGGGCCGGCGAGCCCUCCUGUCUUCGCCCCAUACAAGCCCUGCCCGUCAUGCUUCGUACACUCCAUCUUGAUGUUCACUGAAUCCUCAUUUGUUGUGCGUUUGCAUGAUUGUGGCCUACUAGGAGAGGAGGAAGUGGGCGAUUCCAACCACACGAUGUCGGUGUGUUAGUCCCCUUUCCUGAUGACCACGACCUUCACAUCGCCUCUUCUCACUCUGUGUUGCACCUUGAUGUGCAGAGAGGAAAAAAACACAUGGUGAAAAAGUGGGCGACUGCGACCACACGAGGGCGCUGGGAGACAGGUGCAGUUCAUUUGGGAUCGGUUGCCCAGGGUGCUGCAGUGCGGUUCUUUUUUUUGAGAAACUGUAGUGCGGUUCCUUGGUGGGGCAUGCUGCAGUUCGCAUUGGUGGCCCAAUGCACUGUAGUUUUACCUUUUUGUUAUUUUUUGGGUUCAGUUCAAUUUAGUUCCUUUUGCGUGAGAGGGCAGAACAACAAAACAGAAAAAUAGUACUGCUAC